AUACGGAGGAUCCGAGCGUUAUCCGGAUUUAUUGGGUUUAAAGGGAGCGUAGGUGGAUUGUUAAGGCAGUUGUGAAAGUUUGCGGCUCAACCGUAAAAUUGCAGUUGAUACUGGUUUCCUUGAGUACGGUACAGGUGGGCGGAAUUCGUGGUGUAGCGGUGAAAUGCUUAGAUAUCACGAAGAACUCCGAUCGCGAAGGCACCUUACCGGGCCGCAACUGACACUGAUGCUCGAAAGUGCGUGUAUCAAACAGGAUUAGAUACCCUGGUAGUCCGCACAGUAAACGAUGAAUACUCGCUGUUUGCGAUACACGGUAAGCGGCCAAGCGAAAGCGUUAAGUAUUCCACCUGGGGAGUACGCCGGCAACGGUGAAACUCAAAGGAAUUGACGGGG
rnacentral:rRNA from 1 species